ACUCCUACGGGAGGCAGCAGUGGGGAAUUUUGGACAAUGGGCGCAAGCCUGAUCCAGCAAUGCCGCGUGCAGGAAGAAGGCCUUCGGGUUGUAAACUGCUUUUGUCAGGGAAGAAAUCUUCUGGGCUAAUACCCCGGGAGGAUGACGGUACCUGAAGAAUAAGCACCGGCUAACUACGUGCCAGCAGCCGCGGUAAUACGUAGGGUGCGAGCGUUAAUCGGAAUUACUGGGCGUAAAGCGUGCGCAGGCGGCUUUGCAAGACAGAGGUGAAAUCCCCGGGCUCAACCUGGGAACUGCCUUUGUGACUGCAAGGCUAGAGUACGGCAGAGGGGGAUGGAAUUCCGCGUGUAGCAGUGAAAUGCGUAGAUAUGCGGAGGAACACCGAUGGCGAAGGCAAUCCCCUGGGCCUGUACUGACGCUCAUGCACGAAAGCGUGGGGAGCAAACAGGAUUAGAUACCCUGGUAGUCCACGCCCUAAACGAUGUCAACUGGUUGUUGGACGGCUUGCUGUUCAGUAACGAAGCUAACGCGUGAAGUUGACCGCCUGGGGAGUACGGCCGCAAGGUUGAAACUCAAAUGAAUUGACGG
rnacentral:rRNA from 1 species